rnacentral:rRNA from 1 species
GACGAACGCUGGCGGCGUGCUUAACACAUGCAAGUCGAGCGGAAAGGCCCUUCGGGGUACUCGAGCGGCGAACGGGUGAGUAACACGUGGGUAACCUGCCCUAGGCUUUGGGAUAACCCCGGGAAACCGGGGCUAAUACCGGAUAUGACCUGGUGCCGCAUGGUGUUGGGUGGAAAGUUUUUUCGGCCUGGGAUGGGCUCGCGGCCUAUCAGCUUGUUGGUGGGGUGAUGGCCUACCAAGGCGAUGACGGGUAGCCGGCCUGAGAGGGCGACCGGCCACACUGGGACUGAGACACGGCCCAGACUCCUACGGGAGGCAGCAGUGGGGAAUAUUGCACAAUGGGCGGAAGCCUGAUGCAGCGACGCCGUGUGAGGGAUGAAGGCCUUCGGGUUGUAAACCUCUUUCAGCAGGGACGAAGCGUGAGUGACGGUACCUGCAGAAGAAGCGCCGGCCAACUACGUG